UACGUAGGGUGCGAGCGUUAAUCGGAAUUACUGGGCGUAAGGCGUGCGCAGGCUGUUCUGUAAGUCAGAUGUGAAAUCCCCGAGCUCAACUUGGGAACUGCGUUUGAAACUACAGGACUAGAAUAUGUCAGAGGGGGGUAGAAUUCCACGUGUAGCAGUGAAAUGCGUAGAGAUGUGGAGGAAUACCAAUGGCGAAGGCAGCCCCCUGGGAUAAUAUUGA
rnacentral:rRNA from 1 species